AACGAACGCUGGCGGCAGGCCUAACACAUGCAAGUCGAGCGAAGCCUUCGGGCUUAGCGGCGGACGGGUGAGUAACGCGUGGGAACGUGCCCUUUGGUACGGAAUAGCCCCGGGAAACUGGGAGUAAUACCGUAUGUGGUCGAGAGACGAAAGAUUUAUCGCCAAAGGAUCGGCCCGCGUUGGAUUAGGUAGUUGGUGGGGUAACGGCCUACCAAGCCGACGAUCCACAGCUGGUUUGAGAGGAUGAUCAGCCACACUGGGACUGAGACACGGCCCAGACUCCUACGGGAGGCAGCAGUGGGGAAUCUUAGACAAUGGGGGAAGCCCUGAUCUAGCCAUGCCGCGUGAUCGAUGAAGGCCUUAGGGUUGUAAAGAUCUUUCAGUGGGGAAGAUAAUGACUGUACCCACAGAAGAAGCCCCGGCUAACUCCGUGCCAGCCGCCGCCGUAAAAC
rnacentral:rRNA from 1 species